CAAAUCCAAAAAGAAACAGAAAGGAAAGGGGCGCCUGCUUCCCCUUCCCACCCUCAACCUCACGUUCUCUCUCUCCUUCUCUUCACUGUUGCGCCGGACAUGGCGUCGCCGGUGAGGACGCCGGCCGCCGGCGUGUUUCCCUCCAUCUUCUCUCUCUCCCUCGGUCUCUCUCUCUCCCUCGGCCUCUCUCUCUCCCUCGGCCUCUCUCUCUCCCUCGGCCACGAACCACCACCUCCGCCGUCGCCGCCGGGCCGCUGCUGCCGUCGCCGCUGGGUACACGGCGGUCUCACCGCCGUUGACCGAGAGGUUUGGAUAGAUCGUGAAAACGGGGUCAAAAGAGAUUAAUUUCGUUGUGGAAAGUCGGACAGCCGCCGGAAUGCUGCCGGAAAGUUGCCGGACUGCCGUCGCCGCCGGUGGGCCACUGCCGGGCAGCAUCUCCGGGGUCCGGCAGCUCCUUCACUCACGAGGUAUCGAUGUUCAAGGCGAGACUAUUGCGCAAGAUCCGAAGGGCAUGGAGAGUACUUUUAUCUAUUUUUCUUCACUCUAGUCAAACGUUGAACUCGAUGUUGAACAUGUAUGAACUUUUAUUUGAAGCUCGGUCUUUCAUAAACGGACUAUGAGAAUACUAUAGUAUUUUGUAAUAA